ensembl:lncRNA
UGUUACCCACUCUCUCUCCUUUUUCUCUCCACAGGUAUCAACUUGGGCACAAUAGCACAGUUAGUUUGCUUUGAAUGGCUCUCACCUCUGGGCUGGACACAGCGUACUGUAAGUACAGGGUUCGCUCUAUUCCUCCUCGUGUUAUUCACUCUCUCUUUCCUUUCCUCUCCACAGGCAUCAACUUGGGCACACUAGCACAGUUAGUUUGCUUUGAAUGGCUCUCACCUCUGGGCUGAACACAGCGUACUGUAAGUACAGGUUUCCUCUGUUUCUCCUUGUGUUACUCACUCUCUCUUUCCUUUUCUCUCCACAGGCAGCGGCGUAAGUACAGGUUUCCUCGAUCUCUCCUCGUGUUACCCACUCUCUCUCCUUUUCUCUCCACAGGUAUCAACUUGGACGCAAAGCACAGUUACUCUGCUUUGGAUGGCUUUCACCUCUGGGCUGGACACAGCGUACUGUGCUAUCUCCGGAGAUCUGAAGCACGCUCACAACAUAUACUAUACUGAACUA